rnacentral:rRNA from 1 species
GAUGAACGCUGGCGGCGUGCCUAAUACAUGCAAGUCGAACGGUCUACGCAAGUAGAUAGUGGCGAACGGGUGAGUAACGCGUUGGUGACCUGCCCCUUAGAGAGGGAUAACAGCUCGAAAGAGCUGCUAAUACCGCAUAAGAUCUCGAGGAUUAGAAGCUUGAGAUGAAAGCCGAAAGGCACUGAGGGAGGGACCUGCGUCCCAUCAGCUAGUUGGUGAGGUAACGGCCCACCAAGGCGAUGACGGGUAGGGGACCUGAGAGGGUGGCCCCCCACAAUGGAACUGAAACACGGUCCAUACACCUACGGGUGGCAGCAGUAGGGAAUAUUGGGAAUGGGCGAAAGCCUGACCCAGCAACGCCGCGUGAGUGAUGAAGGCCUUCGGGUUGUAAACUCUUUUACCGGGUACGAGAGAGGACGGUACCGGAAGAAUAAGACCUCGGCUAACUAACGUGCCAGCAGCCGCGGUAAU